rnacentral:rRNA from 1 species
CCCGCACAAGCGGAGGAACAUGUGGUUUAAUUCGAUGAUACGCGAGGAACCUUACCUGGGCUUAAAUGUAGAGUGCAUUUUUUAGAGAUAGAAAUUCCCUUCGGGGCUUUCUGCAAGGUGCUGCAUGGUUGUCGUCAGCUCGUGCCGUGAGGUGUCGGGUUAAGUCCCAUAACGAGCGCAACCCUUAUCGUUAGUUGCCAUCUGGUAAUGCAGGGGACUCUAGCGAAACUGCCACCGUAAGGUGAGAGGAAGGUGGGGACGACGUCAAAUCAGCACGGCCCUUAUGUCCAGGGCUACACACGUGUUACAAUGGUCGGUACAGAGGGCAGCUACCUGGUGACAGGAUGCUAAUCUCGAAAACCGGUCUCAGUUCGGAUCGAAGUCUGCAACUCGACUUCGUGAAGCUGGAUUCGCUAGUAAUCGCGCAUCAGCUAUGGCGCGGUGAAUACGUUCCCGGGCCUU